rnacentral:rRNA from 1 species
GAUGAACGCUGGCGGCGUGCCUAAUACAUGCAAGUCGAGCGAACAGACGAGGAGCUUGCUCCUCUGACGUUAGCGGCGGACGGGUGAGUAACACGUGGAUAACCUACCUAUAAGACUGGGAUAACUUCGGGAAACCGGAGCUAAUACCGGAUAAUAUAUUGAACCGCAUGGUUCAAUAGUGAAAGACGGUUUUGCUGUCACUUAUAGAUGGAUCCGCGCCGCAUUAGCUAGUUGGUAAGGUAACGGCUUACCAAGGCGACGAUGCGUAGCCGACCUGAGAGGGUGAUCGGCCACACUGGAACUGAGACACGGUCCAGACUCCUACGGGAGGCAGCAGUAGGGAAUCUUCCGCAAUGGGCGAAAGCUUGACGGAGCAACGCCGCGUGAGUGAUGAAGGUCUUCGGAUCGUAAAACUCUGUUAUUAGGGAAGAACAAAUGUGUAAGUAACUAUGCACGUCUUGACGGUACCUAAUCAAAAAGCCACGGCUAACUACGUG